UAUGGCGACCGGCGCACGGGUGAGUAACACGUAUCCAACCUGCCGAUGACUCGGGGAUAGCCUUUCGAAAGAAAGAUUAAUACCCGAUGGCAUAGUUCUUCCGCAUGGUAGAACUAUUAAAGAAUUUCGGUCAUCGAUGGGGAUGCGUUCCAUUAGGUUGUUGGCGGGGUAACGGCCCACCAGCUUCGAUGGAUAGGGGUUCUGAGAGGAAGGUCCCCCACAUUGGAACUGAGACACGGUCCAA
rnacentral:rRNA from 1 species